rnacentral:lncRNA from 1 species
GAGAAAUUCAUCUCAGGAGGGUGUGGAUUAAAAAGGGGCUUAGGGGCCGGGCGUGGUGGCUCAUGCCUGUAAUCCCAGUACUUUGGGAGGCUGAGGCAGGCGGAUCUUGAGGCCAGAAGUUCGAGACCAGCCUGACCAACACAGUGAAACCCCGUAUCUACUAAAAAUACAAAAAUUAGCUGGCGUGGUGGCGCAUGCCUGUAGUCCCAGCUACUCGGGAGGCUGAGACAGGGGAAUCGCUUGAACCUGGAAGACGGCAGUUGCAGUGAGCCAAGAUCGUGCCACUGCACUCCAGCCUGGCAACAUAGCGAGACUCCGUCUCAAAAAGAAAAAAAAAAAAAAAAAACAAAAAAAGCGGGGGGCACUAGGGAAAGCUUCCAAUAAGCAUCAGCACAUGAAUUAAGACUCGAAGUCUUCUCUUACACCAGGGAAUUGAGCCAGUUCAAGGGGGAAAAAAACAUUAGGGAACGGUGCCCCUUUUAAGGAGAUCAAGCAAUUGAUAUUUUCAGAGUUCAACAAGUGGCAAGACAUGAAACAAGACAACGUUGAUCAACUUUGGCUAACUUUAGGAGAAAAAAAAGUGCUGGAAGGGUACAGGAUGGCUCAUAGAGAGUCUUACAGCCCUCAUUAAGGAGCUUGGACUUAAUCCUGAAGAAAACAAUGAACCAUCUGGAAGAUGCUAUGCUCAUAUUUAUAUUUGAAAUCAUUUAUGUGGAUUACUCUACAAAGGGUGGAUUUAAAGGAGACCAUUAGGAGUCUCCUGGCAAUGGGCUGAGGGAAAGAGGUUGGAGAAGAGCUAGGGAGUAUUGGGACAUUAAAUUUGCAAAAAUAGAACGGAAUCAAGGAUACAGGUUAGAGGACACACCAAGACCGCCCCCAAGAAUAAGGAAAACAAAGCUGGUGUGAUGGGGAAGGUGAUGAGGGCUCAAACAUGUGGAGUUUUAGGCACCUAUGGAUUUCCAGGUAGAAAUGACAGAAGAAAACUGCAUACACGAGCCAGCAACUCAGGGAGGAUUCUGGCUGAAGAGAGUCACUAGAAGUUACCAGCAAGCAGCAUAACUGCAUUAGAAGGGCAUUCAGCUCCUGAAAGUUUGCUUGUUAAUAACACCACUCAGCGAGAGCUGUGGCAUGAAAGGAGCAGGAGGCCUUUACUGUACUGUGAGAUUCCUUGAAGAUCAAAUGAGAGACUCUGUGAAACAAAAAUAUGGAAUAACACCGAUUGUCAAAAAAACUUUUUAAUUUAUAUUCAGAAAACUCCAAGGACCUCUAUGAGAUAUUGACUCUGACUAAGUUAUAAUGUAGUUAGUUGCAUUUUUGUG